AACGAACGUUGGCGGCAUGCCUAACACAUGCAAGUCGAACGAGACCUUCGGUUCUAGGGGCGCAAGGGUGCGUAACGCGUGGGAACCUGCCCUUAGGUUCGGAAUAACUCCCCGAAAGGUGUUCUAAUACCGGAUAAUGUCUUCGGACCAAAGAUUUAUCGCCUUUGGAUGUGCCCGCGUUGGAGUAGCUAGUUGGUAUGGUAAAAGCCUACCAAGGCGACGAUCCAUAGCUGGUCUGAGAGGAUGAUCAGCCACACUGGGACUGAGACACGCCCCAGAGUCCUACGGGAGGUAGCAGUGGGGAAUAUUAGACAACGGGCGAAAGCCUGAUCCAGCAAUGACGCGUGAGUGAUGCCGGCCUUAGGGUUGUAAAGCUAUUCUACCCGCGAUGAUAAUGACCGUCCCGGGAGAAUAAGCCCCGGCUAACUCCGUG
rnacentral:rRNA from 1 species